AUGUGGUUCCUUGAGCUCCACCGCUCCUCCAUUUGAAGCUCUGCUCAAAAGAUAGGGUACCCUGCUACCGCUCGUCCAUGCUGCUGCUUCGCUGAGUCUGCUCCUGCUGGAGGGGUCUCUGCACCCCAUGCGCCGUCCUUAGCUCAGCUCAUGUCGUCCCACUCAGGACUCAGCACCCAUGGUCAGGUACUCAGGUCCCUCUCUCGCCCACACUUCCUCUCCGAUCGUAUGCGUGUCUGAGCUGUCUUCGUAUUCCCUUAUGCCAGUUCGUUUUCAUUUCGAACUCCACACUUCCUUUGUUGGAAGAAACACAAGAAAGUUGAUGAGUGUUCUUCGUACGAACAGUGAGGUGCCAUGCUGUGAUAAUCACUUCUAUAUUCACUUACUCAACUGGGAAUGAUAGGAAUUAUUGUAAGGAAACCGAGUUUCUAUCUUAAAUCCUUUACUGCCCAAUCUGCAUGAUCAACUUGGAAACGAGAGAAAUUCAGGUAGAAGCAACAGUGUUUUUCAGAGGGAAUCAUGGUGGAGUUUAAUUGGGG
rnacentral:lncRNA from 1 species